GCCGGGCGUGGUGGCGCGAGCCUAUAGUCCCAGCUACUCGGGAGGAUGAGGUGGGAGGAUCACUGAGUCCAGGAGUUCUGGGCUGUAGUGUGCUAUGCGAUUGGGUGUCCCCACCAAAUUUGGCAUCAAUAUGGUGACCUCCCGGGAGCGGGGAACCACCAGGUUGCCUAAGGUGGGGUGAACCGGCCCAGGUCGGAAACGGAGCAGGUCAAAACACCCGUGCUAAUCAGUAGUGGGAUCGCGCCUGUGAAUAGCCACUGCACUCCAGCCUGGGCAAUAUAGUGAGACCCUGUCUCUU
rfam:Cavia porcellus supercont2_1 genomic scaffold, whole genome shotgun sequence.